UGUCCAUAUGACGUUGAAACACUAAUUCCUGUAUGAUCACCAAAGUUAAGCAAUGUCAAGCCUGGUCAAUACUCAGAUGGGUGACCGCUUGGGAAUACCAGGUGCUGUAAG